UAGUGUGGACCUUCCGGUCAGGCCAGGCCUCCCUUCCUGCCGUUCAAAUCCCAGUCCCAGCCUCUUGCGGCUUCUGGCUUCUCCUGCUACCUCUCCCGGCCCUUGAGCCCCGAGGACAGAACAGCAGGAGGCGUCCGCGCAGCCCCGUCCCCGGCAGAGAAAGACGGCACAGAGGAUGAUUUCCUGGAGCCCAGUCAAGGAGCAGUUCCCUGGUGCCAGGAAACCCAGCGACGGAAACUGUGGCUGCGGGACCCAUCCACGGGACGUGCUGUCGGGAAUAAGCCCGGAGUGAGGAGGAGUGCGGCCGAACAGAAGGGCCAGACCUGCCCCGGGGGCGCCGACCAGGAGUGUUUACUGUGACAAGCUCUGUGCCGAUCCCGGGGACACAUUAGUGAAAGAAAACAGGCCUGCUGUGUGCUCACUAAUCGCGGAACGAUGUGUGCCUGCUGAGGCAGCCUCCCUUGGGAACCUUGGUGACGGAAGGGGAAGGCCCAGAGGAGAGUAUGACCAAAAGGCCAUGUGGUGAGGAGAGAGGAGUAAAGUUACUCCUUCGUUCAUUCAGAUAAUACUGAGCAUCUACUGUGACUGAAAUGCCGGAGAUCCAGCAAAGCCAUACCCAGCUCUUGGCCUUGGAGACUCAGUAGGUGAGUCAGAUAUUUUUCAAGUAUUACACAGAAAGUAUAAAUCGCAUCCGUGGGCAGUUCUCUGAAGGAGAAAUACAAGACACUAAGAGAGAUUCUGAGAGGGCUGUGGCAUGGUCAAGGGGAUCAUCAAGGUGGCUUCCUUGAGGAAGGAAUGCUUUAACUGAGAUCUCAGAUAAGAGAAGGAAUCAGCAAAGUGAGUGUGAGUGUGGAAGGGGAGGAGCAGGAAAUGUUUCAGAGAGUCAAAAACACAUGCAAAGUCCCUGUGGCAGGAGACAUCUUGGUGCUCUCUGGAGACAGAGAGCAAAGGGUCAGGGUGAGGUCCUGAAGUUAGAGCAUAGGAAGCCAAUGAAAUAUCUCAAGCAAAGGAGGGGACAUGAUUCUAUUUAAGUUUGGAAAAAGAUUCCCCUGACUCCUGUGUAGGAGGAUUUGCUUCCUCUUAACCACUGAGAGCAGGCUUGGCAAGAAGGGACUGGGAACCAAUGGGCAAGUCAAUUUCUUUGGCCAGGCUUCAGUUUCCCCUCUCCAUAGCGAGUUUGGCUUCAGCAGUUGAUCAUUUUCACCUAGAGCAGAUGUUCUGCCGGCCUUCCUCACUCCCUGAGCUGUCUCUCAACAAGACACUGAGUACCAUUUACUAUGAACCCUUCAAAAGUGAGUUUCCAUGUGCACAUGGACACAUAUCUGUAAACCCCUGGAAAGCAGAGAGGAACUGCUGUCUUGGGAGCACCAUGCAGUGCUAUCUACGAAACCUAAAUGCGCUGGGGUGCGCAGAUUCUACCACUUGGCAUCGACUUUCGAGAACUACCUGCAGUGGGCAAAAGAAGAGUGUGGGUGGGUGUUCAUGUUAACAUUGUUUAUGAACAAUGCAAACCCUGGAGUCUGGACUUGGCAACCGGUAAAGACUAGGGCACACGCCCAGUAUGGGAUACUAAGUAGCCAUUAAAAGAACUAAGUGGAAACUUUGGGUGCUCAACGGGCAAAUCUCCGAAGCAUUGUGAUGGAUGAAAAAAGCAAGUUGUAGAAAGAUACAUUGUGCAGCGCUAAGGAUAGAAAUGCCCCCUUCCCUCCCCCAACCCGGCCCCUAGGCUUUACUAUGAGCUUCUCUGUAACACAUAACACCAUACAAAGAACAGAGAUUUGCAAGAGAAAUAAUUGACACUAGGGGUUGCCUCUGGAGUGGAUCAGGAUUGGAGGUACCGGCCUUCCCAGCAA